GUACGCAGUUUGAUAUUCCUUAUCACGCCGGACCUUCAAUACAGCGGUGGAGCUGCAGUAUGUUAUUUUAAGUUGACAUCCCACAUUUUAAAUGUACCAUAUCACCUUGAACUGCAAUGAUGUUCAACUGCAUAUCUUAACUGAGUAUAUAAACAGCAACACGUAAGGAGCGUAGGGCUAUUUCAUAUCUGCUGCCGUUGCUAGUGCAUCAUUGAAAUUUGCAGGAUAUUUCCCUGGUACCAUGUCGCCCAAAGUCGUAAUAUUAGCGUUCGCAAUUCUGGUAGCUACAUUCGUCCAUGGCCCGAGUGAAGCGUUUCUAUCCGCGACAAUACAGCCGUUGCCUAUAUGCUACUGGAUUUGUCAACCUAACCCUGUGGGUGACCCCCUAGUCUGUGACCGCUGCUUCUACCAAGUUGGGACAUGUGUGUCCUUCAACUUCCCGAAAUGCUAUGUUACUGGACGGAACUGUGCUAGAAGCAACUGGUACGCCAUCAAGUGCUGCCAUCAUCACCACUGUUAGCUAGAAAGAAACCCACUGUUAAGAAAGAAACAUUACCAACGUGUUCGAAAUUUCAUUAGAGGUCGCCACACAGUGGAGCCUUUUAAACUUUAUCGUGCAUUACAU